rnacentral:rRNA from 1 species
CCUACGGGGGGCAGCAGUGAGGAAUAUUGGUCAAUGGACGAGAGUCUGAACCAGCCAAGUAGCGUGAAGGAUGACUGCCCUAUUGGUUGUAAACUUCUUUUAUAUGGGAAUAAAAUGUUCCACGUGUGGGAUUUUGUAUGUACCAUAUGAAUAAGGAUCGGCUAACUCCGUGCCAGCAGCCGCGGUAAUACGGAGGAUCCGAGCGUUAUCCGGAUUUAUUGGGUUUAAAGGGAGCGUAGGUGGAUUGUUAAGUCAGUUGUGAAAGUUUGCGGCUCAACCGUAAAAUUGCAGUUGAAACUGGCAGUCUUGAGUACAGUAGAGGUGGGCGGAAUUCGUGGUGUAGCGGUGAAAUGCUUAGAUAUCACGAAGAACUCCGAUUGCGAAGGCAGUUCACUGGACUGCAACUGACACUGAGGCUCGAAAGUGUGGGUAUCAAACAGGAUUAGAUACCCCAGUAGUC